CUUUUUCUACGCACAAACACAGUUGCACCUCCUCCACCUACGACAACGCCUAUCUUGUCCAUCCAAGACGCUGACAAUGCAACUAGGGGCCCAACAUACCCUUUGUUAGUGUCAACAAGACGUCUCCUCCUUUGUUCCUCUUCCCACACGUGAGACCUCAACACCAUAACCACAACUCAAUGUUGCUCAUCGUCACCUGCCAAGGUCGUCAUCAAAGAUGUCGUCGACAUUAUUGGUGACAUUAUUCUUUCUUUCAUCUUGAGUUCUCUUCUUUUUCUUCCAUUUUCUUCUUUGAGCGGGACGAAGACUGUUGUUAUACCUUGUUGUUGUCAUCGGAAGCGCCACUACUUCUUCCUCCAUUUACAACAAUUUUGGGUUUUGGUUUUAUAAAAUGCUAGUUGAUGGAUGGGUGCAUGGUCUCAUGGAGUCAAAGUUGAAUGGCCAUAGUGGAGAGAAUCAUAGAAUCAUGAUUUUUGUGAGUUCUCUGUUUACAUGGAAAUGAUGUUUUAUGAGUUGAAUGAAUGCUGAUGAUGAUUGGGAAAAGGUCUUGGGGGGAUAGGGUGUGAAGAUUAUGGAAUUGAAGAGUGGAAUAGAGGUGAAAAUGGUAACUAGAUCGAGAAAGCUGGAGGAAGAAAGGUGAUGGGUGAUGUAAUUAGUUAAAAUGGAAAAGUAAAAGAAAGAAAAAGAAACAAAGAUGAAACUAAUCACGAUAUUUAUUGAUGAAUUUUAUUAACAUAAUCAAACUUAAAACUUCAUACUCACUAAAAAGUGUUAUAACCAACUCCGGUACCAUCUCAUUUAUUUAUUUUACUAAUUAUUAUAAGAAUUUAAGGUCUUAAUCUUUUACAACCAUUUUAUUUCUUGUGAAAUUCUUUUAAUAUCU
rnacentral:lncRNA from 1 species